CAGUAGCCGCGGUAAUACGUAGGUCCCGAGCGUUGUCCGGAUUUAUUGGGCGUAAAGCGAGCGCAGGCGGUUAGAUAAGUCUGAAGUUAAAGGCUGUGGCUUAACCAUAGUACGCUUUGGAAACUGCUUAACUUGAGUGCAAGAGGGGAGAGUGGAAUUCCAUGUGUAGCGGUGAAAUGCGUAGAUAUAUGGAGGAACACCGGUGGCGAAAGCGGCUCUCUGGCUUGUAACUGACGCUGAGGUGCGAAAGCGUGGGGAGCAAACAGGAUUAGAUACCCCAGUAGUCCCUGUCUCUUAUACC
rnacentral:rRNA from 1 species